CACACCGUGUCCAUCACCCCGGACGACGGGGGAGCCGACAACUGGGAGGACCGACCCCGAUUUCGUGGUAGGAGCCGCCGGUCUGCCCGCCUUUCCCGUCUCCUGAAGUGGAUCCUCCCAGAGUGACGUAAGUGAAAAAGGGCAGAGACGGGGGACCAAGGCCGUGCCAGGAUCUGGGCACCAGGAACACAUCAAUAUCCACAAGUUGCGGGAGACUGUGUUUCAAGAACACCAGACCCUCAAGGAGAAAGAGCUGGAGAUGGGACCAGAGCCUCGCACGGCUACGGAGGGAAGUUUGGCGUGGAGCAGGACAGGAUGGACAAGG